rnacentral:lncRNA from 9 species
CCAGCAGCAUAUGGAGGUUUCCAGGCUAGGGGUGAAUAGGAGCUGUAGCUGCUGGCCUACAAGACAGCCACAGCAACCCAGGAUCCGAGCUGGGUUCUGUGACCUAUACCACAGCUCAUGGCAACACUGGAUCCUUAACCCACUGAGCAAGGCCAAGGAUAAAACCUGCGUCUGCAUGGAUGGUAGUCAGAUUCAUAUCCGCUGAGCCAAGACAGGAACUCCCAGAACAUUUUCUUUUCUGAAAAUAAAAAUCUUCUUUCAGAUUUUAAUCUGAUAUUUACUGAUAUCCUACUAUUUUUCAUUCACUGCACUUUUGGUACCUGGCCUGGAGUACAAAUAAAGCAGUAUCUAGACCAAUGCCUUGCACAUAGAAGGCACACAAAUACUUGCUGAAUGAACGAAUGAAUGAAUGAAUAGAUGAAGAGAUCUGUGACUUGGAUUAAUUUAGAGUCAGUCCAGUUAAAAAGCAAACAGUACAAAAAUUGCUAAAAGACAGGAGUUUUUGCCGUGGUAUAGUAGGUUAAGAAUCCAACUGCAGUGGCUUUUGUUGGCGGCAGCAAGGGUUCAAUCCCUGGCCCAGUGCAGUGUGUUAGAGGAUCCAGCAUUGUUGCAGCUGUGGCAUAGACUGCAGCUGCAAAUCAAAUUCAAUCCCUAGCCUGGGAACUUCCAUAUGCUAUGGAUGUGGCCAUAAAAAAAAAAAAAAAAAAAAAAUCACUACAGGACAGAAUGAUAAAUGUUACAAUAGGGCUGUGAUAGGAGCACCAAAGCAGAGAGUAACGCUCCAAAAAUUAGAUCACUUCCUCUAAAAGAGAUGGUGCCUACUUUGAGCCUUAAAUAGGACCACAAGACAGGCAGGUGAAGAAGCAAAGGAAGAGCAAGCAGGAGCAGCAAUGUGUGCCAAAACCAAACCAACAAACAAAAUCAGGAAUAAGAGAAUAGCGUGUUCAGGGAACAGGAGAUUCAUCAGCAAGGGAGGAUAACAGUGGGAGCAUGUAUUUGUGCAUCUCUGUCUGUGCACCUAGUGUAUUCAUGUGUGACUGUGUCUGGGGGAGCAGAGAAGUACACGGCAGAAUAGCAACUCUAGAAAGCUAAGGCACGAGGAAGGCAAAUCAUGGGGGCUUUGAAUGUACCCUCAAGAGUUUCAAUUUCACCUUGAAGACUAUAGGCGUGAUUGAGGGAUUCAAGCAUAAAACGUAUAUAUUCAAUAUGGCACAAGGUCCUCUGGCUGUUCUUUGGGUGGGUGACAAGACUGGAGGCUGUUAAAUGUUCUAUUGCAGGAUUCUAGGUCAAAAGUGAUGCUGGUUUGACUCAAGCCAGCAUGUGGAAGGGUGUAGGAGUGGGAAAAAGAGGACAGAUAUAGGUGGUCAGUUAUCAAGGAGGAAGAGCCAUCAGGGCAAGGUGAGUAAUCGGGCGUGGCUACUGUGAUAAGGAGGAGUCCAGACCACUCUCAGUUUUCUGAAAAAAGCAGAUCGCAAAAGAAAAAGCAGUUGAAAAAGAAAUGUUGCCUUCCACUAGGGACAUGAGGAGUGUGAGGCAGCUGUGACACAUCGAAGUGAAAGCCUCCAGAAACACAUGGCUGAGAAACGGAAUUGGGAGCAGAGCACAGAGUUGAAGCAGGAAGAGAAAAGCGACCAGGCAGAGGCAGAGAGGAGAGAACAUCAGCAUGUAACAGGGGGAUGAGGAAGGCACGUCCAGAAAAGAGACUGGGAAGGGAAGUGGUCAGAGAGGCGAGAGUACGGAAAGUUAGGAAAUGGCUUACCACCACGAAAGCAGAGGUUUCAAAAACCAAUUAAAAAAUGGAAAAAAAAGAGAAUCCCACUAGGAACCAUGAGGUUUCGGGUUUGAUCCCCAGCCUCGCUCAGUGGGUUAAGGAUCCGGCGUUGCAGUGAGCUGUGGUGUAGGUCGCAGAUGCAGCUCGGAUCUGGCGUUGCUGUGGCUCUGGCGUAGGCUGGAGGCUACAGCUCAGAUUUGACCCCUAGCCUGGGAACCUCCAUAUGCCGCAGGAGCAGCCCUAGAAAAGACAAAAAGACACCCCACGAAAAUAAAAUGGAAAAAAAAAAAAGGAGUUUUAAGAAGAAAAAUAACUAGCUGUCUUUCAUCAUACCACGCUAUUCCUGUCUCUUACCAACACCAAAUACAGCAUCUAUAAAACCACCACCUAUAUCACCCAACACACGGCAACUCAUAAAUUCCAGAGGGCGUGAUGGUGUUCCAGAUCCAGGUUCUGCCACCACAGUCCCAGUGAUGGUUGAGGGGCAGACCCAGACCUCAGUUACUGUAGCCUUUGUUAAUUUCUAAGGACAAGGGGGGAAGGGGUGAGAGAAAGAGGGAAAAGGGGAAGGGAAGGGAAGGGAGAAGGGAGGAAGGAAGGAAGAAGGGAGGAAGGAAGGAAGAGGGAGGGAGGAACGAGAAAGAACGAAAGAAGAGAAGGAAGGAAGGAAGAGAGAGAGAGGAAAGAAAGAAAGAAAGAGAGAGAGAGAAAGAAAAGAAAGUCAAAGACUCUCUAGAGUCUCCUUGCCUGUUUUCCAGACUUUAAUGCUGGCCAGUGGGACCGAAAGCACUGAGACAGAGCUUCUCAUUAUGUCAGAGCACGGCAAGGGAGGACAAGCUUCACACCACCGUACACUGCAGAUGCAACCCCUCUAGGUUCAGAGAAAAACUAUGAUUUUUAGAAAAGCCUCAAGCCCAUGCCCUCUGCCAGCAUUACACACCUGAGUGUCCCUAAAGGAAAAAUAAAAUCAGCAGCAACACCGAGGAUACUCUCAGGGCCCAGGGUGUGGGUGGCAACCUUCACCAGCCAAGGACAGAAAUGGGAAGAAGACAUGUGGACUAAGCACCCUUAACUAUGACUGGAUACUCUGCCCAAUUUUUCGAGAGGCUUAAUGAAUAGAAUGAUAUUUUCACCUGAUAACAAAGACUGGGACCCAGCAUCCAAGGGAACUGUUAAACAAGAACAGAAAUGC